rnacentral:rRNA from 1 species
UACGGAGGGUGCAAGCAUUAAUCGGAAUUACUGGGCGUAAAGCGUGCGCAGGCGGUUUGUUAAGUCCGUUGUGAAACCCCGAGCUCAACUUGGGAAUUGCAGUGGAUACUGGCAGCUGGAGUACGGUAGAGGAAGGUGGAAUUCCCGGUGUAGCAGUGAAAUGCGUAGAGUAUCGGGAGGAACACCAGUGGCGAAGGCGGCCUUCUGGACCAGUACUGACGCUCAUGCACGAAAGCGUGGGGAGCAAACAGG